GGAUAAACUGCAUUGUCAUUUCUUUUAAGUAUUUGUUCUUGCUUUGUUUUGUCUUUUCAUGAUAUAGCCAUGGUUGCUGUCUGCCAAUACCCAUGUUUCUCCUUUUUCAUUGGGAAGCAGCCAUGGGUUUAGAGGAGAUUAAGUGUCCCAGCUCUUCUUGUACUAUUUAAAAUUUAUCUAAUCCCAUAGGGAACCCCACCCCAUUGUUAUAGUGAUUAAUUCAGGUAACAGAGGCUUAAGCCAGUCAGAGGACAACAUGCCCAUGGUCAGUGGCAUUGAUAUAAAAAUGUGUAUGUGAUUAAAGUUGAAUCAAUGAGUCAUGGGAGAAGAUUUUCUAAGGGCUUUAUAGAAAUAGUUACUUGCCCUUCCAGGUAAGCUAUCAAAAACCAACCCACUAGUAGUUACUGGGAAAUUGUAGUACAAGAAGUAGCUUAACAAUCUUGACCCCAGGAGUGAAGCCAGCCUUAUAAUGAUGUUGAAAUUGGCACAAAGGAAGGCAGAGUAGAGAGACAGAAGAAAGCUACUUGCUUAGAGAGACCACUGAGCUACUGAAUGAAACAUACUGAAGACCUUCCACUUUAUGAGGUCAUAAAUAAGUCCUCUUUGUUGUUUGAGUCACUUUAAGAGGACUAUUCCUAAAAGCCAAAUUUAACAACACAUCCAGCCUCAGACUCAGCAACUAUACCCCGGACCAUUUGCAUCAUGCUUGGAGUAUACUGUUAGAAUACAGAAAGGCAGCUGUGUAAAGAAAUAAGGGUCAUGAAAUCUGAUGAAGAGUUUUGAGGUCAUGUACAAGAAGGUGGGAAAAUAAGGAGAUCAUCAGAAAAAAAAAAAGACUCAGAAGAAAACUAGUGGUUUUUUGUUGCUGUUUUGUGUUGUUUUUAUCAACUCUGUGCCAGCCACUCUGACAAUUCACAGAUGCCAUCUCAUUUGUAAAACCAUCUCAUCUGGUCCCUGGACUUUGGGACUCAUUCUGCUCAACUUGAUCCCCACUCUGCCCAUUGAUCACAUACACACGUUUACACCUGGCAGAAGAGGAAGAGGAGGCAUGAAUGAAUGGCCUCUUCAGAAUGGAGAAAAGUUCAUGUCUAUGCAGCCUCUUCCACCUCUAGGGAAUCAUCAGUAUAAGCACUGGGCUUAUUUGCAGCUCACAGUCUGCAGCUAA
rnacentral:lncRNA from 1 species